rnacentral:rRNA from 1 species
AACGAACGCUGGCGGCAGGCUUAACACAUGCAAGUCGCACGAAGGUUUCGGCCUUAGUGGCGGACGGGUGAGUAACGCGUAGGAAUCUAUCCAUUGGUGGGGGAUAACACUGGGAAACUGGUGCUAAUACCGCAUGAUACCUGAGGGUCAAAGGCGCAAGUCGCCUGUGGAGGAGCCUGCGUUCGAUUAGCUAGUUGGUGGGGUAAAGGCCUACCAAGGCGAUGAUCGAUAGCUGGUUUGAGAGGAUGAUCAGCAACGCUGGGACUGGGACACGGCCCAGACUCCUACGGGAGGCAGCAGUGGGGAAUAUUGGACAAUGGGGGCAACCCUGAUCCAGCAAUGCCGCGUGUGUGAGGAAGGUCUUCGGAUUGUAAAGCACUUUCGACGGGGACGAUGAUGACGGUACCCGUAGAAGAAGCCCCGGCUAACUUCGUGCCAGCCGCCGCGGUAA